rnacentral:rRNA from 1 species
GACGAACGCUGGCGGUGUGCUUAACACAUGCAAGUCGAACGGUAAGACCCUUUCGGGGGUACACGAGUGGCGAACGGGUGAGUAACACGUGAGUAACCUGCCCUCAUCUCUGGGAUAACAGUCGGAAACGGUUGCUAAUACUGGAUAUGAGCUUGCAAGGCAUCUUGUGGGUUGGAAAGAUUUUUUUGGUUGGGGAUGGACUCGCGGCCUAUCAGCUUGUUGGUGAGGUAGUGGCUCACCAAGGCUUCGACGGGUAGCCGGCCUGAGAGGGCGACCGGCCACAUUGGGACUGAGAUACGGCCCAAACUCCUACGGGAGGCAGCAGUGGGGAAUAUUGCACAAUGGACGGAAGUCUGAUGCAGCAACGCCGCGUGCGGGAUGACGGCCUUCGGGUUGUAAACCGCUUUCAAUUGUGACGAAGCUUUUUGUGACGGUAGCAGUAGAAGAAGCACCGGCUAACUACGUG